AGUAACGCGUGGAUAACCUGCCUCACACUGGGGAUAACAGUUAGAAAUGACUGCUGAUACCGCAUAAGCGCACAGUACCGCAUGGUACAGUGUGAAAAACUCCGGUAGGUGUGAGAUGGAUCCGCGUCUGAUUAGCCAGUUGGCGGGGUAACGGCCCACCAAAGCGACGAUCAGUAGCCGACCUGAGAGGGUGACCGGCCACAUUGGGACUGAGACACGGCCCAA
rnacentral:rRNA from 1 species